ensembl:lncRNA
CUUCUCCAUAUGAUGCCUGACAAGCUAGCUAGGAAAGCGCUGAAAAUAGCCCGUAUUAAUAUAUAGCCUUAGAAAUAAGGUUCAUGAAAUCAGUAACUUGCUAACAUCAGAUAGCAAUAAAAGGAUAAAACAUCUACAGAAGAGAUAAAUUCUUAUGGAUAAAUACUUAUGGGGGAGGUGUUGCUGUAUAUAAUCAGAACCAUAUCCCUGUAAUACUUAGAGAAGAUCUUAUGGGGGAGGUGUUGCUGUAUAUAUUCAGAGCCAUAUCCCUGUAAUACUUAGAGAAGAUCUUAUGGGGGAGGUGUUGCUGUAUAUAUUCAGAGCCAUAUCCCUGUAAUGCUUAUGGGGGAGGUGUUGCUGUAUAUAUUCAGAGCCAUAUCCCUGUAAUGCUUAUGGGGGAGGUGUUGCUGUAUAUAUUCAGAGCCAUAUCCCUGUAAUGCUUAUGGGGGAGGUGUUGCUGUAUAUAUCCAGAGCCAUA